AAGAAUUGCCCCGUUUUUUGAAAUGGGUUCUAUUUCCUAAACCGUGUAUACAUACCUUUGUUGCUUUGGCAGGCUGCUUCUUAGGCGUCGGCUCCGGCUGACUGUGCCUGCCAGAGGACCCAAACUCGUUUGUUUAGUGAUGUCUGAGUACUAUAUAAUAGUUA
rnacentral:misc_RNA from 1 species